CAUGUGUGCAUGGCAGCCCACCCAAAGAGAAAUUUCCUUUCUUACUCCCUUUCUAGGGCUGGAUGUCACAGGAUGCAGUGGAAGUUCAAUUUUUCUAAGAGGACACUACCUUCAGGAGGUUUGCUGCCAAGCAGGAGCUUGUCCCUUCCCAGGAACUAACUGAUGGAGAGCUGGGUCUCCCCCAGUGUGGUUUGGGGGCUGCAGAGCAUCAUCCAUCUCAGGAAUGUCCUCCUAACAGGCAGGUGUACACUUGAUACAGACUUUUCUGCAGGGGAGGAACCCGUUUUCCUGGUGGACAGGAAUGAUGACCUGCUCGCCUUCUGCUUCAAGCAUCCAUCAAACCCAGCCUCUGUGUCCCCUGGAGUCUUAAUUUUCCUCUUGACAGCAAAGACAAAUUACUCCCCCAGGGCUAUUUGCUCAUGUCUACUCAAGGUUUCUGUGACAUUUCUUGAAGAUGACCUGUUUUUUAAACACACAAUGAGUUUUCUUUCCACUGACACCUACCACUGUGAAGGUAGAGAUAGAUUUGCUUUGAGAAAACCUAAUGGUGUCAAUCUCUGACACAUCCUCCCUCUCUGCUUUCUGCUUUAGGUUUCUUCUGGUUCUCAGAUGUUGCAGCUGUAAUUUUUUUCCUGUAUUUGGGCUUGUCCUGCACAGAUAAAGCAAUAUUUCAUUGAGGUGCACCAACCAAAAGGAAAUAUAUUUUAAUUUUUUUUCAACCCAAGUUUUCCCAAACUCACCCUGAAAUCUGCCUUUCGGCUCCCCUAACACCAUACCCCCAGCUCCUAAAUGGUGGGGAAUAUUCCUGUGGGGAAUAUUCUCCUGUCUCUAGGAUUAUCCUACCCUCUCUGACAUCUUCUGAGACAACAUGUGAAGCUGGGAGCUGUUGUUUGAGUCAUCAAAUGAAAGGAAAGGGGUAUUUUGAGUUGUUUGGGAUAAUGGUUCAACUGAGGUGUUCCAGGUGAUGCCAGCAAACAUUACACUGGGAACAUUUGUUGUUAAAACAGCACAUAGGAAUCACCAGCUUUGUCAAAAGACAGUUGGAUGGUUAAUCUCCCUCAUAUGUAUUAUUUUUAGGCUUUUAAUAGAUUUUAAGACUUUUUUUUUGGUUCCUUAUUUCUCAGAUAUUUCUGGAAAUGACAGCCACAUUUGUGAGUGUCUCAAAGACAAUUUCUUUCCCAGUAAUGUCCCCUGGGACCAGAGUAAAGCAAUGGCCCCUGGCACUCUCCUGCCAGCCCCUCACCUGCUCAGAGGUAGUUUGUUCUCUGCAAAGCUGUGCCUUGAACACAACUCUCCUUCUCUCCAGCCCCAUGGAAGGAACCUGACCACUGCAUGUCUCCCAGGGGAGGCAGGCAGGCAACACAAGGAAUCAGGAGCUGGUUUUGUUAUUGAUAUUUUCAUGAUGAGGCAUGCAGACAAAUAAGGAAAAAGCCUUCAAUUCCCCCAUUUUCUCAUUUUGGAGAGCUUGUCUUUGCAAUACAGCUCUUUAAUGUCAUUCUUGGUAAAAAAUGUCCUUCCCCUAAUUUUCCCCUUCUCAGAAAAACUGCCCUGCAGUAUCAUACACGGUAUAGCCACGCCUUGCACUGGAAAUACCAAACACCCAGAUUUGCAAGGAGCACUGCCAGCCCUGUCUAUGAUUAAACCCCAUAAAAAAGGAAGGGACACUCCGGCCAGAUCCAUCUGGAUGUUGAAAGAGAGAGGAAUGUGAUUGCCACUUUCCAGUUUCCCUUGGCACAAGGAUUUUCCAUGCAGCACAUCCUGAGGAUGGGAAAUGGUGCUGGACCACCUGCGUGCUGGCUGUGCUCAGCACAUCCCUCCAAGGAUCAGCAUUUCCAAACACAGCCCUGGGGCUACACAAAGUCUUUGUGAUCCCACCUCAGUGACCCCAAGGCUACAAGUGCUGCCAUGAGACCUUCCUUGCAUUGGAAGGAGCUCCUUGUUCCCAUAAAUCAUAGAAUCAUAGAAUAGUUUGGGUUGGAAGGGACCUUUAGAGGUCAUCUAAUCCAAACCCCAAAUGGAAACAUUGCAAUUUGGGCACUCUACCAUGCAAACUCUCCUUGGCUGCUGAAUGCAAUAAUCACACUCUGGAUGGCUGUGAGUUACUGUGCAAAGGGAAAAGGCCUCUCUCAAACCCCCUGCUUUGUCCUUUUACCAUUUAUGUAUGUGGCUGCUUAAUAUAUAUUGAAUAAUUUAAACAAUCCACAUGCCAUAACAUGCCCCCAAACGUUAAGUUGAGUGUCCCCAAAUUUGUUUUGCAUGUUUAUCCUUCCAUUCAUUAGAAAGGUAAAUGUUCUUUGACUUCACCCUGUGCCUUUCGGCAUUAUUUUAUGGAAAUUCUGAUUUCCUGCACUGAAAGAAACCCUGAUGAUAAUGAGAGGCUUGAAGCGUUUCAAACAAAGAAAAAGCAGAUUGAGUCAAUUCUUCAUUUUGUUCUUAAUCAAAACUAGUUGUGUGCAUUUGCAUCGACAAUGAGCUCAGCACACAAUGCUCCAUAUGGGCUUGGCUGCUGGCAUUCAGUGAAUGGCAGGAGCCACUGAAAAAGCUCCCUGGUUUUCAAAGAUUUAGAGAUGACCUUGCAAAAGUGUCACUUGUCACUGACUUCCUUGUCCAGAAUCACUAGGAAAAUCCCUGGAAACAGGCUAUGGAAUUGCAGAGGCCAGUUCUCACAGGCCAAAGCAGCACAGCAGCACUUGCCUACGGGGAAACAGUGGGAAAUGAGAAACUGGAAGCUUUUAAUGGAGCCCCAAAACAUUCCUUUUCAUGAUCCUUUAUCUGGAUAUUGGUCUUCUACUUCAGGUGUUACUCAUUUUUCAGUACUAUACCAAGUCUACCAUAAAUAUGAAUGCAAACAAGCUAUGGUCCAUUAAUCCAGACACCUAUUUGCAAUUCCAAAGUGUCUAAACCACUUGGAAACAACCCACAAACUUUUACUGUUCCCCAGUUCAGACCUGACCUCACAGAACCCCCUUCAUGCUAAUUCCAGUCCAGUUAUACCCAGGAGGUAUCCACAUAUGUGCCAUUUUAGGACCAGGUCCUCAUUUUUGAGCACAUUAACAGCCCCCAGCAGGGCUGUGGUGCACAGACUUUGCAAAUCAGUUCUGCAGAGCAUGAACAAUUAGAAGAGAGAGGGAUGGUGAGACACAGGCAUCCCUGGUUGUGCUGUCCUGAGUGGCUGGACAAGUUCUGCUCAGGAAGGAUUUAUUUUGACUCAUUUUGGUCUGUGGCUGUGAGAGGCUUGCAAAACCUUUCACCUUCCUUCCCUGGAGUCAUGUAUAUUUUAUGAGAAAUUUAAGAAUUACCUCUUAUUAAAAUGGGGAUAGCAUAAUUACCAAUAAAAAGCAGAUGUUAUGGCAUGACUAAUGCUUGAAAAUGUGUAUGUAACAA